UCGGAAAAUAAAACGAAAAAUCAUGGCAAUUAUAUUUUGGGCAUAAAAUACAUUCAUAAAAGUUAAGGUUUGGUCAAAAAUAAUAAACCUAAAAGAAAAUGGAAAUUUUAGGGCAUUUUGUGUUAAAUGCCUAAUUUUGCCGAAAUGGGGAAUUUUAUUCCAUGAAUGGACCUUAGGUUAAAUUUUAUUAUGUGAUUAAUUAAAUUAAAUGUGAGAGACAUUUAAUUUAAUUAAUUAAUGUUAAGUUUGGUGAUUAAAACUUAAUAAGAGUGAAAAAAGGUGUCAAAAGUCAAUUUGGACUUUUCUUCUUAUAAACCUUUAUUAACCUUUAUAAAAAAUAAAAAAUAAAAAUAAAAAAUUAAUGGUCACAUAUAUGGAAAAGGGUGGCUGGCCAUGUGCUAUUUUAGAGUGGUGUGAACCCAAUUUUAUAAAAUUCAAAUCCCAUUUAAUUAAGAAGUCAAGUGGGCAAGUGGGUAGAAAAGCACUCAAGUGUUUUGUGAUAUUUUGAAGAGUUGUGUGAGCCAUUCUAAUCCCCAAAUCCGACCACUCUCCCUCCCUCAUUCACUCUCAUCUGAUUUUUGAAGACUCUCUCAAGUGUUCUCUCCAUUUUGAACCCCAAGAACACCAAAGAAACUUGGAAGCUAAGUCUUGGUCUAGGAAGGGUUUUCCCUAAGGUAAAGUUUCAUUAAUCUAGACUUUUGUCAAGUUUUAAUCAUAGAGUUUCAAAUAGCUAAUUACCUAUGUUGUUGGAGGAAGUUGGUUAGGGUUUUUGAAAGGUUUUGAAGGAUUCAAAGCUUAUAGGAAGGUCCAAACCUUAAGCAAGAACACCAAAGAGUAUUGGCUAAGCGUAACUGGACUGAACGUUGGAGGGUGAAAACCUGCUGAGCGCUAAGGACUCCAAGUAAGAACAAGGGCAAGGCAGAGCAGUGAGCGCUGGAGUCUUCCUUGCAAAUGUACAUGUGGACCGACCUUUUGGGAAGCCUUUUUAUUUUUGGAAAUGUUGUGUAAUUUUCCUAAACUAGGCUCACUCUAAUCUUUAUAAAACAUGUUUGUAACUAAAUGUUAAGUAUGGCCAUACGACUUUUUAAAAAGUUUUUUUUUCUAUGGG